rnacentral:rRNA from 1 species
GAUGAACGCUGGCGGCGUGCCUAAUACAUGCAAGUCGAGCGAACGGACGAGAAGCUUGCUUCUCUGAUGUUAGCGGCGGACGGGUGAGUAACACGUGGAUAACCUACCUAUAAGACUGGGAUAACUUCGGGAAACCGGAGCUAAUACCGGAUGAUAUUUUGAACCGCAUGGUUCAAUAGUGAAAGACGGUCUUGCUGUCACUUAUAGAUGGAUCCGCGCUGCAUUAGCUAGUUGGUAAGGUAACGGCUUACCAAGGCAACGAUGCAUAGCCGACCUGAGAGGGUGAUCGGCCACACUGGAACUGAGACACGGUCCAGACUCCUACGGGAGGCAGCAGUAGGGAAUCUUCCGCAAUGGGCGAAAGCCUGACGGAGCAACGCCGCGUGAGUGAUGAAGGUCUUCGGAUCGUAAAACUCUGUUAUUAGGGAAGAACAUAUGUGUAAGUAACUAUGCACAUCUUGACGGUACCUAAUCAGAAAGCCACGGCUAACUACGUG